GAGCAGAUGGAAAUGCCGGCGAAAACGGAUUCUUGUGUGUUCAUGUGGCAUCAGCUCUAAAUAGGUAUGAGAAGAUGUGAACGUGAUUGAGAGCGAAGAUCAGAAAGACGGCCUUCAGGAAUUUGGGACACAACUCGGUCACGAUACCUACGACAUACGUAAACAGUAAAGUAAAUACUCGAAAAUAUUAUAGGUAUAGCUUCAUUCAUCCCUAGUAAUAAUAAUAAAUUAGGUAUAGGUGUAAGUUUCAUGGAAUAUGAGUGACACAAUUGUUCUUAUCUUAAUGUGUUAUUGCAUUUUGUGUUAUUUUUUUAUUUUUCGCCUUAGAUUCUGUUGCCAUAGUGACCGCUUGUGCAAGUAGGUACUUUUUAUUACAAAAAAGCAAGACUUAUAUUUCGUCAUGACAGAGGAAACAGACCGUAGUAGCCUCUUACCAGGUACCAUUAGACUCUCAGGGGCAGUAUCAAUUCACCUAACGGAGGCAUCUCGCCGGCCGCUUGGUGUCAACGAUCCGGAUAGCGCCUUACAGCUCGACUCUGGUGUUUCUGAGACUGAUGUGGACAUUUCAGUCGGUUCCAUAUUUUGAUGUCGGCCCUAUAUCUCACUGUCAUCUCACGGCAUAUUCCGGCACCGCCACCGACGGCAGCAGAUGGGUAUCUUGGACAGGAUGAAG